CCCCUCUCAGGGUCACAUCUGGAGAGUUUCCAGUAUUCUACCACUUGUGACUGCAGGAGGGAGAGUCAGGCAGAGACAUAUCCAUUCCAUUCCAAGCUUGGGCAGUGGCUAGUGAGUGGAAGGCAAUCUGCCGCAAGU